rnacentral:lncRNA from 1 species
CCGAACUACAUGUAUCGCAAUGUUUUAGCUUCUUUUUGCUCUUUAAUAACAUCAUCUAGUGUCAUUAGGUCUAGAUCUUGAAAGGGUCGGCCCGAGUAUUUCACACACACUUGUUUCAUAAGCAUCUAAUGUCGCAUUGUCGCAUAAACACCAGAUUAUAUACCCAAAGAACAAACCAACAAUUAAAAGUAGUAGAACAUACAAAUGCUAAAAUAAAAUAAACUCAUUCCCCUGCAUACAAAGUGAAAAAGAAAAAAAUUAAGUAAAACCCUAAUAAAGAUGACCAGUUCGAUUCAAGAACCAAGAACCAUUUGAGAUUCGAUUGGUUCGCGAUUCUUAAUUAUUUUUUGGAAACUGGCUGAACCUCCUAUUCCGAUUAAAAUCCCACCCAUAGCUGCCUCACAACAUUAUUCCCAUUAAACACGAUAAGAAAUUAUUAUUUCUCAAAGCUUUGAAGGUAAAACUUUCUCAUCUUUCAAUCCCAACAGCCCACACAGCUCUGGGUACAAAGCCUUCCUUAUUUCUGCAUAGACCUUACCAUCCCAUCUCUUUUUGGCCAAUUCAUCACACAGGCGCAUUGCAGCCUCCACCGCCUCUUCCGGGCUAGGGUACGCUGAGUCCACGAUCCCCAUUUCUACUGCCUCCUCAGCCUUCACUUUUGCGGCCCGUAACACCAAGCUACGCCGCGCUGAAGCAGAUCCGAUCUUGGAUCGUAUUAGAGCCGUGAAGUAAUCGGGCAAGGUCACCCCUAUGUCCAGUUCACUCAUGUACAUCACACUCCUUGAUGCCGUCAUGGUGACAUAGUCGUGGCUCAUGGCUAGUAUCAAGCCGGCGGCAGCGGCGUGACCCCCGACGGCGGCGACUGUGGGCAUCGGUAGGGUUAGAAAAUCAGAGACGAUGCCCUUGAACAGGUCGACCAUCCGGAGUAAUUCAUUCUUGGCUGCUUGAAUCGAGCCUGAUUUAGCGCCGACGGCUUGAACGUGCCUUAAAUCAAAUCCGUUGGAGAAGAAUCUCCCUUGAGCCAGCGUGAUGAGAACGGAGCCGGCGACGGCUUGCGACUUGGCUUCGGCCAAAGCCGAGCGGAUGGAUGAUAUGAGAGGUGGGUUUAAGCGAUGCUCAUCUUUGUUGUCGCCGGUUAACGUUAAGAUAAGAAGGUUGCCUCGCUUCUCUAACGUGCACAUGGUGGCUGCGGGGUGACGAUUAUAGAGAAAAUUGUCAAUUUUGGUAGAGAAGAGAUUGCAUGAUAAUAAUAUAAUAAUCUUUAAAAAGUGUGCAUUCCAAAAUGAAUUAAUC